CCGAACGCGGCGGAAGUGACGUCGAAGCACUUCCGGCGCUCACGCGGGUGGCGAGGCUUCCCGAAGUCAGGCGUGGAGGUUGUGGGCUGUUGCAGUUUUCGCUGGUUGGAGGCUAAGGAAUCUCCCUGCUGGACCUGAGAGGGUUGAGGGCAGCCCCAGGAGAAGGAAAGGACCCUGGACUGCACGCUGAGGAGUCAGGAAGCAGCUGUCCCCCAGCCAGGGGCCUGCGAAAGCCGGGUGCAGACUGAACCGUUCAGCCCCAGGACAAAGUUGUUCUAACGAAGAACAACUCCUCAAAGUUGUGUUUCAGAAGUCAUGUUCCUCAAGCUACCCUAAGGAGCAUGGGUCAGUGACCAAGAGGCUAGCUUUACUUCGUUUCAAUAUUAGAAUCUCCACCCGGAAAAACUAAAGCCUCAUUUGCAUAACAUGAAAAGUGCUGCUAGAUGCCAGCCCAGGAUCUUCCUGCAGGUGCAGACCAAGGUGCCUCUGCCCCUCUUGCACUCGCAUUCCCUGCCCAAGCAAACUGCACCCGGCUGGCCUGGCCUCUGUGGGCGAUUCCCCACGGUCUCCUUAUUUGCUGCAAAUAAGUUUUCCUCUGUGUGACAGCCAUGUUUGGUGUUCUGUUCCAGUUUGAUUCCCACUAAGAGGUGGACCCAUUGAAUCUGGUGACAUUCUGACCAGUUCAAUGGCCUUGGGCAAGCAGUGAGCAUCUCGGCCUGUUUCCUCUUCUGCUCCAUGGGGAUUACACCUGCCUGUGGAAUCAUCGUGGGGUUUGGAGCACCAGUCUUUGGUGCCUCUUAGCUCCCUUCUUCCUGCUUGGGAAAAAUUUUUCCAUCCUUACUGUGGAAUUAAAUAAUUUUUCCCAGAAAACUGCCCUUUCCCACCACUCAACACCCAUAAACCAUGUUGCUAGUUCACAACUUUUUCUUAAUAAUCCUGUUCAUUAUUCUCCCACCCUUUUCCUCUGAGUUGUAUGCUGAGAAUUUUUAUGCUUAACCAUUCAAACUUUUACUGAGCACCUGCGUGCAAAGUAAAAUUUGAAUUAGUGGGCAUUCUUUAAUAUCUUCUCUAUGUUGUAUUUCUUAAAAGAAAAGGAGUUUCUAUCAAUUUAUUCUUGUUAUUUCUUCAGUCUUUCUUUACUCUUUGGAGCAAGGAUUCAAUAGCUAGGAAGAUCAUACAGCUUUUCUAAACAAUACCUUUUUUUUUUCCUGUUUUUUUUUCUCUCUUUAAAUUCCAAACUCCUAAAGAACUAGAUUCAUCUCUUCUUCGCCUUUCCUUCUUUCUUUCUCUUAUUCAAGGUUAGAAGUCUUGUUAACAGGAAAUAAAUUCUUUCCAUCAAA